rnacentral:rRNA from 1 species
GACGAACGCUGGCGGCGUGCUUAACACAUGCAAGUCGAACGGGAUCCAUGUUGUAGCAAUACUUCGGAAGAUCUAGUGGCGAACGGGUGAGGAACACGUGAGAAACCUGCUCCGAACUUCGGGAUAACAGUUGGAAACGACUGCUAAUACCGAAUACCUCUGCGAAGUGGCUUCACUUUGCAAAGAAAGAAUUUCGGUUCGGGAGGGUCUCGCGGCCUAUCAGCUAGUUGGUGGGGUAACGGCCUACCAAGGCAGCGACGGGUAGCUGGUCUGGGAGGAUGAUCAGCCACACUGGGACUGAGACACGGCCCAGACUCCUACGGGAGGGAGCAGUGGGGAAUCUUGUGCAAUGGGCGAAAGCCUGACACAGCAACGCCGCGUGCGGGAAGAAGGCCUUCGGGUCGUAAACCGCUUUCAGCAGGAACGAAGAUGACGGUACCUGCAGAAGAAGGUGCGGCCAACUACGUGCCAGCAGCCGCCCGUAA